GGGAUUGUGGCUCAGCGGUAGAGCACUCGCCUAGCACACGGGGGGCCCUGGGUUUGAUCCUCAGCAUACAUG
rfam:Ictidomys tridecemlineatus contig015750, whole genome shotgun sequence.